UCGGUCCCGAGUAGAGUGGCGCACGGGUGAGUAACGCGUAAGUGAUCUACCCCUGUAUCUGGGAUAACUGUGGGAAACUGCAGCUAAUACCGGAUACGUUCAUGUAGUUGCGAUUAUGUGAAGAAAGAUGGCCUCUGAUUCAAGCUAUUGUACAGGGAGGAGCUUGCGUACCAUUAGCUAGUUGGUAGGGUAAUGGCCUACCAAGGCAACGAUGGUUAGCGGGUCUGAGAGGAUGAUCCGCCACACUGGAACUGAAACACGGACCAGACUCCUACGGGAGGCAGCAGUGAAGAAUAUUGCGCAAUGGGGGCAACCCUGACGCAGCGACGCCGCGUGGAUGAUGAAGGCCUUCGGGUCGUAAAAUCCUGUCAGAUGGGAAGAAGUGUGCGAUGGCUAAUACCUGUUGCAUUUGACGGUACCAUCAGAGGAAGCACCGGCUAACUCCGUGCCAGCAGCCGCGGUAAUACGGAGGGUGCAAGCGUUGUUCGGAAUUACUGGGCGUAAAGCGCGCGUAGGCGGUUUGUUAAGUCAGAUGUGAAAGCCCAAGGCUCAACCUUGGACGUGCAUUUGAAACUGGCAGACUUGAGUAUUGGAGGGGGUGGUGGAAUUCCCGGUGUAGAGGUGAAAUUCGUAGAUAUCGGGAGGAAUACCGGUGGCGAAGGCGACCACCUGGCCAAAUACUGACGCUGAGGUGCGAAAGCGUGGGGAGCAAACAGGAUUAGAUACCCUGGUAGUCCACGCCGUANACGAUGAGAACUAGGUGUUGGGACGGUUGAUCGUCUCAUNGCCGCAGCUAACGCAUUAAGUUCUCCGCCUGGGGAGUACGGUCGCAAGAUUAAAACUCA
rnacentral:rRNA from 1 species